GCUGCGUUUCUCUCUUCGAUCUUGCCUCAGCUGUGCAGGUUUUUAUUGAUUCACAGUGUCUCAGCGAUUGAAGACUAGUGUCCAUGUUAACUUGGUCUUCCAUAUAGAACUGAGAAUCAAGAUGCUAUAGAUGCCGCAAUUGUUGGUAUGCUUGCUGAUCCAAAGGAGGCAAGAGCUGGAAUUAGGGAGGUCCAUUUUUUCCCUUUCAAUCCUGGAGACAAGAGGACUGCUCUAACUUACAUUGAAUCUGAUGGAAAUUGGCAUAGAUCCAGCAAAGGUGCUCCUGAGUAGGUAAAAAUAUUCUGCUAUUG